rnacentral:rRNA from 1 species
UACGAAGGGGGCUAGCGUUGUUCGGAAUCACUGGGCGUAAAGCGCACGUAGGCGGACUUUUAAGUCGGAGGUGAAAUCCCAAGGCUCAACCUUGGAACUGCCCCCGAUACUGGGAGUCUUGAGUAUGGUAGAGGUUAGUGGAACUGCGAGUGUAGAGGUGAAAUUCGUAGAUAUUCGCAAGAACACCAGUGGCGAAGGCGGCUAACUGGACCAUUACUGACGCUGAGGUGCGAAAGCGUGGGGAGCAAACAGG